GUUUGACAUUGCUUUGAGUACAAAAUUAAUACGUUAUUUGACAAAAGAAAAUAUUUGAGUUGCAGCGCAGGCAAACAAACAAGAAAGAGGCAUCAAAAGUAGCACAAUCAGAAUUUGAAUGUCAUGACUCAUGAUGUUCUUAACACGUAUCGAUUUGUUCAUACAAACUAAAAUCCAUAACCAAUGUCGUUAAGCUUAUAGCACUCACUCUCUUCCUAAAGAUCAAAUGCCAAAUUUCAAGGCCUAAAAACCUAUCUGAAGUAAAUGGAAAUUUGUGGGAUAUCAAUAUCAUUGUCUUCAUCAUCCUCACAAGCAACCACCACAUCCAAGUGCCUCCGAUAUGGAGGCAAUUCCGCUUUGCCCACCUCCCUAGCCAGAUCAACCAACUUCUUGUCCAUGCGUUCUCUAUGCCUAGGGAACAUGCUGUUAUAAAGCAGACAACUGCCAUAGGAAAUGCUGUAAGCAUUUAAGCCCUUGUUUUGUAGCCAUUCAAGAAGCUCUCUUAAUGUUGGAUUGUCUUUUAAGAUCCAUCUAUCCCACACUGACCAGCUCAUAUCUUGAUGCUUGAUCACUUUAGGUGGAACAGGCUCUGCAAUGGAAAACAGAGGCAGUGCCAGGUUAGCAAAGCUGUUUCUGUAGUCCUCCAGUUUGUGUCCUCCAUCAAGAACCUUAUAGAGUUCCAAGCAAACCAGGCCAGUUGCCAAAGCAGUGGAGGUUGCUAUUGCUGGGAUGAUCCUUCCGGCAAUGAAUUUAGCUUUCAGCUUGUCAACUUCAGGGAUGCCAUAAUUCCUUGCCCUCAUGUUUGCAAGUCCAGCUAUUAAGUCCAUAUGAUAGUUUGUAUCGUCAUCCUGCACAUGGAGACAAUUGUGAAGGGUAUUAUUAAUGAUGAUUGUUUCACAUAAAUUACUUGUCUAAGGAAAACAUUUCCAAAAAAAAAUUGUAAAUUGCAGUUGUUGCCCACAAUCACUUCUGAUUGUCAAUUGCUGAAGAUGGCCAAAAUGACCACCAAUAGUGAAUAGACUAAUGUAUAUGCAUUUAUUUGGUUCUCACAAUUGUCAAAUCAAGAUCAAAUCGAAUAGUAAGAUUCGAUAAAAUUCUCAAAAUUAAAUAAAAAUGAUAUAUAUUCUAAAAAUAAGUUAAAAAAAAAUAUCACA
rnacentral:misc_RNA from 1 species